rnacentral:sRNA from 1 species
CCACUUCCCAUCAUGGAUGGCUUCAACUCAGCUCCUGCAGUAUCCUGGGCACCUCUCACCCAGAGCACGUAGUGCUCUGAGGUUCCUGCCAGCUCAUCUGUCUGUUCUUUAGAGCAUCCUGAGGAGUGGGCGGGCCUUGCUUCUGUGUUGCCGCAGCGGCCAGCAUAGACGAGAUACGCACUAUUUCUUGAAAGAACUGUAACGUCCGAUCAAGGUAGAAGCACUCACUUGUGCUUUGAUGCAUCUCCCCUCCAAACACAGUAGUAAAAAGCCUCGAGAACUGUGAAAAAUGAAUUUCUAUUGUUUAUAAGCCACUCAGGUAAUGGGAGUUUGUGAUAGGAGCCUGAAUGGACUGAGCCACUAGACAGGGAGGAGAGCACCAGCAGCAGAAAACCUUCUGUCACGAUGAGCCCGAGACCCAACAUCAAACCUUCUGUCACGAUGAGCCCGAGACCCCAAUUCCUCU